rnacentral:lncRNA from 1 species
CGUGGCCUGGUCUGCCUGCUCCAGGGCGCAGCUGCGCCCGCUUCAGCGCCUCCCGGGUCUGCGUGGCCUGCUCGGCUCAGAGGCCUCCACCACGGUCCGCUCCCUGCCGGACGCCGCGCUGCUGUGGCCGCGGUGGUUCUGUGGCUGUGAGGGCCGUUUCUGUCCGUCCACACCGCCUUCCCUCUGCAGAUUUCCUCUGCAGAGGCCCGGAGUUACCAGCAAGGUCUGACGCAGCAGAGUGCAGAAACGGCCUCCCUGUCUGUCAAAGUGGCCUCCCGAGGACACCCAGCGAGGCCACCAGAUCAUCACGUGGAGUAUCGGUGGCCUUAUUAAAACAAAAACAACAACUCCACAGCCCGGCGAGCGUGUGAAAUCAUCACCACAACCAAGCCAAGUGCAUCCAUCGCUCAGGCAGUCACCAUGGUGUGAGUGCGGUGAGACGGCUUUGAUCUGGCUCUCAGCCACUUCUGAUGCUCCUGGUACCUGCAGUCACCACGCUGCACCCAGGCUUCUGUGUGUGUUCAUCCCACAGCUGCAGAAAGCAUCGCCAGGUCCAAGGCCGUGUGGUUGGAGCUGAGCAGCAUGUGGCCUUUUCAGCUGGCUCCUGUCAUCUCAUCACAUGCAUUUGAGGCCCCUCCAUGCCUUUUCCUGGCUUGACAGCUCAUUUCUUUUUAGUGCUGAAGAAUAUUCCGUUGUCUGGAUGUGCCAUGGUUUAUGUAUCCAUUCACCUACUGAGGGGCACCUCGGUUGCCUUGGAGUUUUGACAAUUAUAAAUAAAGUGGCUGUACA